rnacentral:rRNA from 1 species
UCAAGCGUCUCUAAGGGCAUUUGGUGGAUGCCUUGGCGUUGAGAGGCGAUGAAGGACGUGACACGCUGCGAUAAGCCAUGGGGAGCUGCGAGUAAGCUUUGAUCCGUGGAUUUCCGAAUGGGGAAACCCGGCCAUUUAGGUCAUCCCGCAAGGGAAGCAAACCUGGGGAACUGAAACAUCUAAGUACCCAGAGGAAAGGACAUCAACCGAGACUCCGUUAGUAGUGACGAGCGAACGCGGACCAGGCCAGUGGCUUGAUAGAAGACAACCAGAAGCGUCUGGAAAGGCGCGCCAUAGUGGGUGAUAGCCCCGUAUGGGUAAUGCUUUCUUCAAGUCCUUGAGUAGGGCGGGACACGUGAAAUCCUGUCUGAACAUGGGGGGACCACCCUCCAAGCCUAAGUACUCCUCAACGACCGAUAGUGAACCAGUACCGUGAGGGAAAGGUGAAAAGCACCCCGAUGAGGGGAGUGAAAUAGACCUGAAACCGAAUGCCUACAAUCAGUCGGAGCCGCAUUAAGUGGUGACGGCGUACCUUUUGUAUAAUGGGUCAGCGAGUUACUUUGACGAGCAAGCCUAAGCCGUUAGGCGUAAGCGAAGCGAAAGCGAGUCUGAAUAGGGCGUUUAGUUCGUUUGAGUAGACCCGAAACCGGGUGAUCUAGCCAUGGGCAGGUUGAAGGUACGGUAACACGUACUGGAGGACCGAACCCACGUCUGUUGAAAAAGACGGGGAUGACCUGUGGCUAGGGGUGAAAGGCCAAUCAAACCCGGAGAUAGCUGGUUCUCUGCGAAAACUAUUUAGGUAGUGCGUCGUGUAUUACCGUCGGGGGUAGAGCACUGGAUGGGCUAGGGGGGCGCGAGCCUUACCAAACCUAACCAAACUCCGAAUACCGGCGAGUACAGCACGGCAGACAGACUAUGGGUGCUAAGGUCCAUAGUCGAGAGGGAAACAGCCCAGACCUCCAGCUAAGGUCCCCAAAUUGUGGCUAAGUGGGAAAGGAUGUGGGAAGGCCAAGACAGCCAGGAGGUUGGCUUAGAAGCAGCCAUCCUUUAAAGAAAGCGUAACAGCUCACUGGUCUAGACAAGCCGGCCUGCGCCGAAGAUGUAACGGGGCUAAAGCCACAUACCGAAGCUGAGGACGUGAUUUAUCACGUGGUAGCAGAGCGUUCUGUAGGCCUGCGAAGCGUAAUCGUGAGAUUGCGUGGAGGUAUCAGAAGUGAGAAUGCUGACAUGAGUAGCGAUAAAGAGUGUGAGAAACACUCUCGCCGUAAGCCCAAGGGUUCCUGCGCAAGGCUAAUCCGCGCAGGGUGAGUCGGCCCCUAAGACGAGGGCGAAAGCCGUAGUCGAUGGGAAUCAGGUUAAUAUUCCUGAACCUGUUGGUAGUGACGGAUGACGUAAGUUGUACAUGCUUAACGGAUUGCGUGUGCAGCGAAGUUGUUCCAGGAAAUAGCUCCAACACUAAGACCGUACCCCAAACCGACACAGGUGGGCAGGUAGAGCAUACCGAGGCGCUUGAGAGAACGAUGUUGAAGGAACUCGGCAAAUUGCCCCCGUAACUUCGGGAGAAGGGGGACCUCCAUUUAGGCAACUAGAUGGAGGUGGCACAGACCAGGGGGUGGCGACUGUUUAUUAAAAACACAGGGCUCUGCGAAGUAGAUAAUACGACGUAUAGGGUCUGACGCCUGCCCGGUGCCGGAAGGUUAAGAGGAGGUGUGAGAGCUCCGAAUUGAAGCCCCGGUAAACGGCGGCCGUAACUAUAACGGUCCUAAGGUAGCGAAAUUCCUUGUCGGGU